rnacentral:RNase_P_RNA from 1 species
GAGGAUGGUCGGGCAAUCGCCCCGCACAUAAUUAUGUGCGGGGAGGAAAGUCCGAACACCAACGAGUACCGUGCUUCCUAACGGGAAGAUCCGGGUAACCGGUUAGCCAGUGCCACAGAAAAUAGACUACCCCGCUUUGUGCAGGGAAAAGGUGAAAAGGUGAGGUAAGAGCUCACCGCUCCGGUGGUAACAUUCGGAGGGCUCGGUAAACCUCACGGGGUGCAAGCUCACGCAGACCGUUGUGCUACUCGUCGCAAUACGGUCGGGUGGAGUGCUCGAGCCCCGAAGUAAUUCGGGGCCAGAUAAAUGAUUGCCACCUAACGUAAGUUAGGAGACAGAAUUCGGCUUACAGACUGUCCUCUCUU